UCAAGUCCCUAUGAAUAAUCUUCAAUCUUGAAUCUUGGUGAAGAUACAGCAGCCCUCUAGCAAUUCCCAUAAUGAUGUCAAACCGCUUCUCCCAGUUCAGUAACAUGCAUAGGGUUCGAUCUUGCAAGGUUCCCAUUGGAAAGCAUUACUUCAGAUAUGUAUACAAGAAUGUAUAUGUUACAUGAAAAAGAAAAGGGCUUUAAGGCAGGUUUAGAGACAAACCAAAUAUGAAGGAAUCUAAGCUUUUGUUGGCCAUAUAUUCAUAGAGUAAAAUCUUCUCAUCACCUUCAACACAAUAGCCCAAAAGUCUAACCAGAUUCCGAUGCUGAAGUUUGGCAAUUAAAACAACCUCAUUCUUAAAUUCCUGUAGGCCUUGUCCUGAAGCUCUAGAGAGUCUCUUAACUGCAAUUUCUUGCCCCUCUGGAAACUUGCCCUGGAAGCCACAGUGCAUAUGCAUUGGGCAUAUGUUAGAACUUGGUGACUUGAAUUCUAUUUGGUUCGACUCCAGAAGCUCGCGAUGUGAUAUAGGUAGUAAAGCUAAAAUUAUGAAUUUUUUUUUGGGUUUGUGGUAGUAACAGAGGGAUCGGACCUAUUACUCUUUCAUGUAUAUACAUACAUAUAUAUACAUACAUAUAUAUAUAUAUAUAUAUAUAUAUAUAUAUAUAUAUAUAUAUAUAUGUAUGCAUGCGAUGAUGUAUAGUUUUCAGGGUUAUGAUGAUUAUGUUUUUGCUAUAGGGGUCCGUAUCUCUUUCCUCUUGUACUAAUUUUUGAUAUAAUAAAAUUUCUUCUCCUCGUGGUCUUUCCUAUCUAGGGUUUUCCAUACAAAUUUAUGUGUUCUUAUCCUGUUUUAUUUCUUAUUGCAUAUUCUCAUUAUUUUGUAACAGCAUAGAUGAUGAUAAACUAGUUGAAAAUGAGAGGAACAUGGAAAUUAAGAACAAUUACCUUGUAAACUGGCCCAAAACCCCCUUGUCCAAGCUUAUUUGCAUCUGAAAAGUUAUUUGUAGCAGCCAGUAUGUCUUCUAAGUCGAAAAACGGUACAUCAAUGCCUUUCUUAUCCUCUUCUUUGAAUUGCUCCGAGUCUAUUGAGUGUUUCACACGACUCUCACUAUCAUAUAAGUGAAGCACUUGAUUUGCUCUGUUCUCUGAACUCAAAAAAAACAGAAAAUAUUGUAUACAAGACCCUGAAAUAUUCUCAAUUCAGCCAAGCACAAGUCGAAAAGAAAAGACCAGAAGUUAUAGGCUAGUGCAUAUGGCACAAAGAUUACCUUUCCUUUUGGUGAUGGUUCUUUUGCGCAAAUAAGCAAUAUAACCAAUGAUGCCUAAAACCGCAACUAGAACAACAGCAAUUGUUAUGCCUACCACAACCACUGGAGAUGACCACGAUGACUUCUGAUCAGCAGGUUUGACACCUGAAACAAAGAAGGAACUGAAUUGAACUUCUCUCACCUACCCAGAAGGCAAAUUUAGUAAGAUACUUGGUGAACAGAAUCCUCACCUUGUGUACAAUUUAAACUUGAGCUAUUCCAUUUGAAGUUUUCAUUGCAAAAGCACCUACUCAUUCCAUCUCGCGUUCCGCAGAUUGAAUUUGGCCAGUCUUUGCAAUCUGCUGAUGAGGUACACGCCGGCUCCGAUGGUGGAUCCCAACUGAUCUCUACUUCAAUACUAUUUUUCAAUGACAUCUCAGAGCCAAAAUGGUCAGUUCCAACCUCUUUGCACGCAUCAGUUAUGCGAAAAGGUGGGUCUAGUGGCGGAAUUAAACUUCGAGAACUGCAAUCUGCUUCUUUCAGUUGGAUUACAAAUCUUAAUGUCUCUGGGUUAAUGCUAGUUACUCGGUAGGCACCACCAGGUACCUUGAACUGAACCUGGCCUGUGGUACUGUUACACUCAAAAUUGAAGUACAUGGGAUCACCACACUUUGAUCCAGUGCUUAGAGGAUAAGGAAUCAUGCUUGAACCACAAGUUUCACAAUUCCUUACUGUUGGUUCUGCAAAGACAGUAGAAUACCAUGUGGGCAUUUCAGUUACAAAUGGAUUAAUGCUUGUUUUUUCAAAGAAAAAAUAAAAUAAAAAUUGAAAGGGACAUACUUAUAUCUGAAAUGGCCACACGAACGGAGAGGUUGUGGGCAUCAAAGGCAUACUCCUCCUGAAGAUCAGUAAGGUCUUCCGUCCAAAUCAAGCAUUUUAGGGCAUCAGUAUCACCUCUUUCUUGUUUGAUAUAAGUUUCAGCAUAAGCUUGACAUUGGCAUUUUUCAAGGCAAGCCUUUCUGCAAGGAUCACUAUCAUUUGGAUCUGCGUCAAUCUGAGAGUCUGGCUUUCUCACUUUCAUCAUCUUUAAGCUCAGGAACAUGUCUUUACUAGAAUUCUCCUCGCAUAUGGGAGACUUUCUGGUACACCCACUUGAAAAGUCUUCAGUUUUCCACUUAUCCGGCGAGGCGGGUUUGAACCCAGGUAAACAUUUGCACAUCAAAGGAUUUUUAGUGUUACAACUACCGAAUUUCCCACAAGCUUUUGACACACUGCAUCGAUCUCGAGGUGCCCACCAGUCUGGAGAUGAUGUAUUCGGAUUCAGAUAGUACUGGAUUUCCCCUGAAGAAUUCAUCACCAACCGCGUGGUAUUCUUAUACCUGCGGGACAGUAUUUCAAGGGUUCCAUUGAAGAAUUUUAUAUAGCUGGUUGGCUUACCAUUCUUGCUGAGGUUGGAUAACAAGCUGAGUAUUGCAUCUGGAAUUUCAUCAGGCGUUCCUUUCGAGUCCUCACUGCUCCAAUAUGGGACAAUUGAACUUUCCCAUAUGUUAUAAUGAUCCUUAUUGUCUUGAUCUAUCUUGAAAGUAUAGUUUCCAGGUGCCGGGUCAACAGAACUCAGCCAUGAAGUCAAUGUUAAGGUUUCAUCCAUCUUCAUCCCCGGAAGAAAAGUAUCUGUAGGAUUAUGGAAGCUCUCCCAAAGAAUCUUCCCCGAUCUGUUGUAGCUCAAAACAAGGUUCCCAGAGUCCAUGAGCUUCACCACCCUCCCUGUAGAUAAAGAUGUUUCAAUAUCAGAAUGCCAGUGAACUGUCCCAUUUGCAUCCAAUACCUUGAGCUGACCAUCUUCUUUAAUGGCAAAAACUCCAGAGGGGGUGUCAGAAAGGGGAAGGGGGUUCUUUCGGUUGGCCACCCAUACAACUCUUUGUGGUUUCGACCUGUAAUACCAUAUGCCCACGAAUCUUCCAAUCUUGGAGCUUCCACCUGGAUUAAAGAAGCCAAGUUCAAAAGUUUUGCCUGCAGAAACAACAGUUUCUCCAUCAUUACUAAGCCAGUCCUCCGGUGUGAUGGUAUCUCUAGCAGAGCAAUACAGGACAGAACACAAGACGAAAAAGAUGGUAGAUAGCAUGUGAGUUGCAGAGACAGGAACCAUGAAUUUUCUUCCUUAUCAUUUUGCCUCUUUUUAGAGCUGUGUCCUCAAAUCUAUAGUUUUUAGUGGAGACUUUUCCUCUUGACCCUGAGUGGAGUAAAGUCACAUCAAUACUGUCUGUCAUCUUUGUCUUCCUCCCGCAAACUAAAUAACGGUUGUCCUUUUGUACCCACUAUUUAUUUUGGACCUACCUACCCUCAUUUCACUCCAGUAAUAAAAUGAAAUGUGUGAAUUGCAUGUCAUUAAAUAAAAACAAAAACACGUAUCUAAUCGGUAUUAUACUGAUUCAGUACUGUAGAAUUUUCUCAAAAACAAAAACAAAAACAUAUACCUAAUCGAAUGAUUAAUCAUUGGAGUGUAGAAUGCAAAGCUUUUUCUUUCUUCAUUUUAAUGAGACAAUGAAUAAAAAUAAGGUGGACCAUGUCUCCUUUCCAACGCACACCUUUCAUCUUUUCUCUUUAUCCCAACAUGUUUCUCAUUCCACUCCACUUUUUUCUUUGUAUGUAUAGUUUAUCUCUUUUAAGAAAUCAAGUAUGAGCAUCAACUGAUAAAUUUUUCUAUACUUUCUUCGACUUGGAGGAGCUUCAUAAUGGGAUAAACAAUCAAGAGUCUGUUUUCACAAUGUUUUUAAAAAGGGUAUUUGAGAUAACUUAAAUGUUUUUGAGGCAAAAUUUUAUUAAGAAUUCAAAUAUAAAAACUAAUUUUCUUUGUUUAUGCAUGUACGAUAUAAAAGUUUUUAAAGUGCUAUUCUCUAUUUUUUCAAUUGUCACUCAAUGAAUUCUAAAAAAAAAAAACAAAACUAAAAUACCUUAAAAUAUUUCUAAAAAAUAAUUCAUUUUCAAAACAAAUUCCCAAUAAAAAAAAAAUUGUGUUUUCUAUCAUAAUUUUUUGAAACAUAUUUUCUAAGUUAGAAAAUAAUUUUUUAUUCUAAAAGAUUAAUAUAUAUAUUUUCAAGAACAGAUACCAAAUAUAACCUAAUUUUUCUUCUAAGGUUUUUUUCCUUAUGUCUCCGUCUAGUUGUCAUCCAAUGAACAAUCCACUUCAAAUAUUUUUGUGCCAAAGGGUAAAACCGAAGGAGAGAAUUACUCAAACACAGGAGAAUUAAGAAUCAAAGGACAAAAGGGAUUGGAGCAAGGUGAUAACUUUUCUCAGUGAACUUCACUGAUUUGCUCAAAGGCAAGUUGCCAGCAAAAUCAAGGAUAUAAAAUGUGUAUUUCAUCUUUUUUUGUUGGACCCAUUGGGUUUGCUUUUUUUCCCUCUCAAUUUGGGAUUUAAUAUAAUAUAGAUCAGGAUUGAGCAGGUUUCUGUAAAUAAAUCAAAAUGGGCGGCCUUUUUUUAACUUGAUUCCCUCUUUGCUUUCUAGCACAUGAGAAAAAGUAGAGCUAGCCUCACAUGUGCACACACUGCACAUGGCAUAGCAUUGGGUACCUAUUGAGUCAUCUCCACCAUAUGAUUAAGCACAGUGGCCCAAAUACUAGCAAUGAAGUUAGAAAAUGCAUUCUUCAUUUUCGUCUCCGAGAGAGUAGGAAAACCAUAUUCUUUCUCUGAUUUUUCAGGAAGAGAGAAGAGACUUCUCACAUAGAGAAUAAAAAAUAAAAAAAUUAUUUAUUUUUAAUAGUGAUAGUUUCUAUGUAGUUUUAAAACUCCCUAAAACUAUUUCCCCAUUUUCUCAUUUAUUUGAGUCAGGUCGGGUCAGUCCACUUGGACACCCAAACCCAACUCCAACAUUGUGGAACUUGGAAGUGUAGUUUAUCUCACUGCUGAACAUGAGAACUUUGUUGGACAUGGUGGGACAUCACUUGGGUCUCUUGAACACUGAAGAGCCCAACAUUUAUAUUGUCAUUUAGUUUGCACCAUAUGCAGAGCCCAGUUCAAACAUGAUAUUGAAAAAAGUUCUAUACACAAAUACAGCUGAUGGAUAGGAGAAACAAAACAGAACAUCAGAUGGAUAAAACUUAGUAAACUAAAUAAACGGUAAAGGAUUCAUUGGAUCUCCUCUUAGCUAUCGCCCUUCUCCUAUGGAGGCUACAAGCUCAUUCUUCCAGGAGGCUUCAGCCUUGCUAGAAGAAGAAGCUGUACUAGAAAGGUUCCUCUUUACAACAAAAGCUGGUUCUUUAGGAACGGGCACUGUUGCAGCAUCACUGCUGAGCAGAAGAACUGCAAUGGCCAUGGUGGGACGGUCACUUGGGUCUUCUUGCACACACAACAGCCCAACAUUUACACACCUCGAAAAUUCGUUUGUGUUGCAUGUUUCACUUAGUGUCUGGUCCAUCAACUCCAAAACCUUGUCUUCUUUCCAUAGCUUCCAUGCCUAGAACAGUUCAAAAAGUUGUAGGUCAGAUGAACAGAGAAUGACUAAAAGAUCAGUACAAAUGAAAGAUUCAAAGCUCUUACAUGACCUAGAAGACUCAGAGUUCGGUCAGACUGAUAAAAUCCAGUGUUCCUCUUCCCACUGAUGAUCUCAAGUACCAUAACACCAAAGCAAAAGACAUCAGACUUCUCUGAGAAAUAUCCAUCCAAUGCAUACUCCGGAGACAUAGCCACUGCAUUGAACCAGUUAAAAGCAGCACUCAGCUAAUUGGGAAACGCAAUCAUACAACCGCUUGCCUUUUUCGAUACAAAAUAUACAAUACUUACUAAGUUCCAACUACUCUGUUCGUGUUUGCCUCUACUUGCUUACUGUCAAAAAUCUUUGCCAAGCCAAAGUCUGAAAUUUUGGGAUUCAUCUCAUCAUCAAGUAGAAUGUUGCUUGUUUUUAAGUCCCUAUGAAUAAUCUUCAAUCUUGAAUCUUGGUGAAGAUACAGCAGCCCUCGAGCAAUUCCCAUAAUGAUGUCAAACCGCUUCUCCCAGUUCAGUAACAUGCAUAGGGUUCAAUCUUGCAAGGUUCCCAUUGGAAAGCAUUACUUCAGAUAUGUAUACAAGAAUGUAUAUGUUACAUGAAAAAGAAAAGGGCUUUAAGGCAGGUUUAGAGACAAACCAAAUAUGAAGGAAUCUAAGCUUUUGUUGGCCAUAUAUUCAUAGAGUAAAAUCUUCUCAUCACCUUCAACACAAUAGCCCAAAAGUCUAACCAGAUUCCGAUGCUGAAGUUUGGCAAUUAACACAACCUCAUUCUUAAAUUCCUGUAAGCCUUGUCCUGAAGCUCUAGAGAGUCUCUUAACCGCAAUUUCUCGCCCCUCUAGAA
rnacentral:lncRNA from 1 species